GACAUCUGUUAUCUCCUGUGUGGGAUGUAUGUGGGUCCGGAGCUCCGUCAUUAAACUACCUCUUGUAAUUACAUCAAGGCCUUUUCGUGAUUCUUUAGGUGCCUGCCAAAUCGGGAAUUGAGUGGGGGUUUCCCUGCUAGGUUCUAUCAUUUGGAGGUCCCACUGAGAUCUGCGUGACACCCAGGAACCCGGAAAGACCCCUUGGAGGCGACCCCUCCCUGAGAUGCUGGCAGUGAGUCUGUUCCAAGCUCCAGUGAGGGAGGCAUCCGCCCACUUGGGGCUUCUGUCCAAGGAGGGCAAUAUGAAUAAGUUGAAGCCUCCAAGGGGACAAAGGAGAAAGGUUCUUGUGUGACAGGAAGUCCUUGAACCAGUGUGGUGAGAGAAUGAAGAAAAGGUGACCAAAUGUGAGCAUACAAGGCCUCCCGGGUCUAUAGAGAGGCUGCUGUUAGUGUGGAAACGUGGUACAGCUGGAAUGAUGAUGGUUCGGCGGUAAAGAGCACUCGCUGUUCCUACAGAGGACCCGGCUUUCAUUUCCGGUGCCCACGUGGUACCACCCAAUUGUCUAUAACUCCAGUUCCAGGGGAUCUGAAGCCCUCUCUGGUCGGCUUUAUCAGUCACACACACGGAUUCCAGAAGAAAUCAGAAAUUGGUAAAGGCAAAUGUAGAUUCAUUGACAUUUUGACCAAACCUAGGAGAGAAAGAAGUCGAAUUUCUUCAUGAUCCUGCCUAUUGCCACUUCAUAGCUUAAAAACAAACAGCUGGAGAGAUGACUCAGUGGUUACGGGCACUGACUGCUUUUCCAGAGGUCCUGAGUUCAAUUCCCAGCAACCCCAUGAUGGCUCACAACCAUCUGUAAUGGGAUCCGAUGCCCUUUUCUGGUGUGUCUGAAGACAGUGACAGUGCACUCACAUAUAUGCAAUAAUAAUUUAAAAAGUAAAUAAAUAAUGUGUGACACCACAAAACAAACAGUGUGUGUUCCUGCACGUGCUCGAACGCCCUCCUGUGUGUAUGUGGUCAUCAGAGGUCCUCAGACUCCUUGGAGCUCAAGUUGCAGGUGGUCGUGGGCAGCUUGAUGUGGAUGGAGCCUGAACUCAGGCCCUAUGCAAGAGUAGAACAUGCUCUCAACCACCCAACCACCUCUCCAGCCUCAAAUAGGGCUUUGCUUUUUUUUUUUUUCCUUCUUAUCCUUUGGGCAUCUUGGUACAUGUAGUUUUGUCUUUUAUACAGAGUGCUGAGAGUCUUGGAGCCACUUUAGCUUCAGAGACCCCAUCUUGUACAUAGUCUCCAUCUUGUACUAGGCUAAAUUUUAAGAAACAGCUGAGCUCCCGGAAAUGGGUUCAGGCUCCAGGCGCCCCACAGGAAUUUAGGUCCACAUUACCCUACCCCAUGCCUUGCUGGUUAGCACCCAGUCCGGUCUGAAACCCAGCAGCCGCUACACAGGCUCUGAUUGGCUGGCCUCAAUCCAGGGCAAGUUAUCAAGAAAACCAUCUGAGGUAUUUGACAGGUAGUAACCCACUUAAGAUGUCAGGUGUGAGAAACGGUUGAAAUACAGCAUGCAUGCACCCGAUUGGCUGCCCCUACCCUACCUAAUCUGUGGGUUUUGUUGUUGUUGUUUUGUUAUUGUUUUUUAUGUUUUUGUUUUUGCUUUAAAAGGUUGUUCUGACUCUCCCUGACACGGUUUGGAUCCAGAACCCAGCCGACUUCCUAAUAUACCGGUUUUUUGAAUAAAGAAACUUUUGUUGGCUCG
rnacentral:lncRNA from 1 species